CGUAGCCGAUGGGAAACAGGUUAAUAUUCCUGUACCUCAAUUUAAUGCGAUGUGGGGACGGAGAAGGUUAGGUCAGCCAGGUGUUGGAUAUCCUGGUUCAAGCAUGUAGAUAGAUUUCUUAGGUAAAUCCGGGAAGUCAAUAUCAAGAUGUGUUAACGAGUGAACUUUUGUUCAUGAAGUGAUUGAUACCACGCUUCCAAGAAAAGCCACUAAGCUUCAGUUAGAUUGAGACCGUACCGCAAACCAACACAGGUGGGCAGGAUGAGAAUUCUAAGGCGCUUGAGAGAACUCUGGAGAAGGAACUCGGCAAAUUUGUACCGUAACUUCGGGAUAAGGUACGCCCCAGUAGGUUGUAGCAUUUUACAUGCGAAGGCCGAUGGGGUUGCAGUGAAAUGGUGGCUGCGACUGUUUAUUAAAAACACAGCACUGUGCAAACACGAAAGUGGACGUAUACGGUGUGACUCCUGCCCGGUGCCGGAAGGUUAAUUGAUGGGGUGCAAGCUCUUGAUAGAAGCCCCGGUAAACGGCGGCCGUAACUAUAACGGUCCUAAGGUAGCGAAAUUCCUUGUCGGGUAAGUUCCGACCUGCACGAAUGGAGUAACGAUGGCCACACUGUCUCCUCUAGAGACUCAGCGAAGUUGAAAUGGUUGUGAAGAUGCAAUCUACCCGCGGUUAGACGGAAAGACCCCAUGAACCUUUACUAUAGCUUUACAUUGGACUUUGAUAACAUCUGUGUAGGAUAGGUGGGAGACUUUGAAGCAGGAUCGCUAGAUCUUGUGGAGUCACCCUUGAAAUACCACCCUGAUGUUGUUGAGGUUCUAACCCAGGUCCCUUAUCGGGAUCGGGAACCGUGUAUGGUGGGUAGUUUGACUGGGGCGGUCUCCUCCCAAAGAGUAACGGAGGAGUGCGAAGGUAACCUAGGCACGGUCGGAAAUCGUGCUGUUAGUGCAAUGGCAUAAGGUUGCUUGACUGCGAGACGGACAUGUCAAGCAGGUACGAAAGUAGGUCAUAGUGAUCCGGUGGUUCUGUAUGGAAGGGCCAUCGCUCAACGGAUAAAAGGUACUCUGGGGAUAACAGGCUGAUUCCUCCCAAGAGUUCAUAUCGACGGGGGAGUUUGGCACCUCGAUGUCGGCUCAUCACAUCCUGGGGCUGUAGUCGGUCCCAAGGGUAUGGCUGUUCGCCAUUUAAAGUGGUACGUGAGCUGGGUUUAAAACGUCGUGAGACAGUUUGGUCCCUAUCUGCCGUGGGCGCUGGAAGUUUGAAGGGGGCUGUUCCUAGUACGAGAGGACCGGAAUGGACAGAUCUCUGGUGGACCGGUUGUUACGCCAGUAGCAUAGCCGGGUAGCUAAAUCUGGAAGAGAUAAACGCUGAAAGCAUCUAAGCGUGAAACUUGCCCUAAGAUGAGACUUCCCUUGCACUUUAAGUGCACUAAAGAGUCGUUCAAGACCAGGACGUUGAUAGGUCAGGUGUGGAAGUGCAGUAAUGCAUGAAGCUAACUGAUACUAAUUGCUCGUGAGGCUUGAUCCU
rnacentral:rRNA from 1 species